UACAGAGGUCUCAAGCGUUGUUCGGAUUCAUUGGGCGUAAAGGGUGCGUAGGCGGCGCGGUAAGUCGGGUGUGAAAUCUCGGAGCUUAACUCCGAAACUGCAUUCGAUACUGCCGUGCUUGAGGACUGGAGAGGAGACUGGAAUUUACGGUGUAGCGGUGAAAUGCGUAGAUAUCAGGAGGAACACCGGUGGCGAAGGCGGCAUCCUGGACCGGCAUUGACGCUGAGGCGCGAAAGCUAGGGUAGCAAACGGG
rnacentral:rRNA from 1 species